UUUCCGUAGGUGAACCUGCGGAAGGAUCAUUACUGAGAUCUUGCUCUUAGGGGUCUUCCCCUCACCCAAUGCUUUCAUUCUUUGUUACCUUAGCAGGUAUGACCUUUGUGCUACUGGACUUGGCUUGUUAGUGCAUGCUCGUGAACCAAUAUUCAGAAAACCUUAUUGUUUGAAAUCCUAUUUUAAUUGUUAACAAUUUCAACAAUGAAUCACUUGGUUCUGGCCUCGAUGAGUAACGCAGAAGAUCGGAGGAGCGAACGUCCGAACGCCAGUCACGCG
rnacentral:misc_RNA from 1 species